UUAGAAGCCGAAAGGCUACUUAAAACCAUCGCGAACUCGUCCAAGUUGCUUCGGCGGCGCGGCCCCCCUCACGGGGGCGCCGCAGCCCCGCCUCUCCGGAGGUGUGGGGCGCCCGCCGGAGGUACGAAACUCUGUAUUAUAGUGGCAUCUCUGAGUAAAAAACAAAUAAGUUAAAACUUUCAACAACGGAUCUCUUGGUUCUGGCAUCGAUGAAGAACGCAGCGAAAUGCGAUAAGUAAUGUGAAUUGCAGAAUUCAGUGAAUCAUCGAAUCUUUGAACGCACAUUGCGCCCGCUAGUACUCUAGCGGGCAUGCCUGUUCGAGCGUCAUUUCAACCCUCAAGCCCUGCUUGGUGUUGGGGCCCUACGGCUGCCGUAGGCCCUGAAAGGAAGUGGCGGGCUCGCUACAACUCCGAGCGUAGUAAUUCAUUAUCUCGCUAGGGACGUUGCGGCGCGCUCCUGCCGUUAAAGACCAUCUUUAACUCAAGGUUGACCUCGGAUCAGGUAGGAAUACCCGCUGAACUUAAG
rnacentral:rRNA from 1 species